rnacentral:rRNA from 1 species
UGGGGAAUAUUGGACAAUGGGCGCAAGCCUGAUCCAGCCAUGCCGCGUGAGUGAAGAAGGCCCUAGGGUUGUAAAGCUCUUUCACCCGCGAAGAUGAUGACGGUAGCGGGAGAAGAAGCCCCGGCUAACUCCGUGCCAGCAGCCGCGGUAAUACGGAGGGGGCAAGCGUUGUUCGGAAUUACUGGGCGUAAAGGGCGCGUAGGCGGAAUAUCAAGUCAGAGGUGAAAGGCCUGGGCUCAACCUGGGAACUGCCUUUGAAACUGGUAUUCUAGAGUUCGGAAGAGGAUGGCGGAAUUCCCAGUGUAGAGGUGAAAUUCGUAGAUAUUGGGAAGAACACCGGUGGCGAAGGCGGCCAUCUGGUCCGAUACUGACGCUGAGGCGCGAAAGCGUGGGGAGCAAACAGGAUUAGAUACCCCCGUAGUCC